UAGGGAAUCUUCCGCAAUGGGCGAAAGCCUGACGGAGCAACGCCGCGUGAGUGAUGAAGGUCUUCGGAUCGUAAAACUCUGUUAUUAGGGAAGAACAUAUGUGUAAGUAACUGUGCACAUCUUGACGGUACCUUAUCAGAAAGCCACGGCUAGCUACGUGCCAGCAGCCGCGGUAAUACGUAGGUGGCAAGCGUUAUCCGGAAUUAUUGGGCGUAAAGCGCGCGUAGGCGGUUUUUUAAGUCUGAUGUGAAAGCCCACGGCUCAACCGUGGAGGUCAACCGUGGAGGGUCAUUGGAAACUGGAAAACUUGAGUGCAGAAGAGGAAAGUGGAAUUCCAUGUGUAGCGGUGAAAUGCGCAGAGAUAUGGGGGAACACCAGUGGCGAAGGCGACUUUCUGGUCUGUAACUGACGCUGAUGUGCGAAAGCGUGGGGAUCAAACAGGAUUAGAUACCCUGGUAGUCCACGCCGUAAACGAUGAGUGCUAAGUGUUAGGGGGUUUCCGCCCCUUAGUGCUGCAGCUAACGCAUUAAGCACUCCGCCUGGGGAGUACGACCGCAAGGUUG
rnacentral:rRNA from 1 species